UCGGGGUAAAAUAGUGAGAAGCCGACAUGGGGAAGUGAUCGAUCCUUGGGAUAAGUUUAAAUUUGCUUUUUUUUUACUGCAUAAACUUUUUACCAUGGGUAAAAAGAUUCUUCUUGGGGUAUAAAAAAAUCAAAUUUAAAUUUAGCCCAAGGGUUAAUAAUGUAUUUUCCCCAUGAAGGCUGCUCACUAUUUUACCCCAU
rnacentral:pre_miRNA from 1 species